CAACAAUCGGAAAGGAAGGAUGUUACUAUUUUGCGUGUACUGUGGAUUCAUUUGUUUUCGUGGAUACCUAUUAGACUGGAUAAAGGAAAACUUUCAGUUUCGUGGAUAUUUUAUUUCGUGUGUUUGCCAAAGUCUGCAUACAUGCUUUCAUUAAAAAAAAUGAAAUUCGUUGUACAUUGAUAUUCGUGAUUACUAGGUAAACACAAC
rnacentral:lncRNA from 1 species